rnacentral:sRNA from 1 species
GAUGACAGUGGCGCCGGAAGCCGGGGCCGGGGCUGCUGGGCGAGGCUGAGGCCGCCAUGGAGCAGUGUGCGUGCGUGGAGAGAGAGUUGGACAAGGUCCUGCAGAAGUUCCUGACCUACGGGCAGCACUGUGAGCAGAGCCUGGAGGAGCUGCUGCACUACGUGGGCCAGCUGCGGGCUGAGCUGGCCAGCGCAGCCCUCCAGGGGACCCCUCUGUCAGCCACCCUCUCUCUGGUGAUGUCACAGUGCUGCCGGAAGAUCAAAGAUACGGUGCAGAAACUGGCUUCGGACCAUAAGGACAUUCACAGCAGUGUAUCCCGAGUGGGCAAAGCCAUUGACAGGGUGAGCAUGUGGCCAGCUCCAGGCCUGGGGUGGGAGUACCCUGAAGCUGGGAUGUACAAGGACUCGAAGGACAGCCAGCAAGAGUGCCCGCAUCACCAGGCCCUGUCUCUCCUCCUCCGUCAGAACUUCGACUCUGAGAUCUGUGGUGUUGUGUCAGAUGCGGUGUGGGAUGCGCGGGAACAGCAGCAGCAGAUCCUGCAGAUGGCCAUCGUGGAACACCUGUACCAGCAGGGCAUGCUCAGCGUGGCCGAGGAGCUGUGCCAGGAAUCAACGCUGAAUGUGGACUUGGAUUUCAAGCAGCCUUUCCUAGAGUUGAAUCGAAUCCUGGAAGCCCUGCACGAACAAGACCUGGGUCCUGCGUUGGAGUAAGGAGGCCCUUGGGUGGGCCAGCAGCACUCUGCUCCGACCUCUCAGGGCACAGGGCUUGACUGUGGUCUUCAGUUCACCCAGAUGUACUUGACUUGCCUCCAGCCCUGUCUCAAGAGCCUCACACAGGCUUUUGGGGCCCUCCUCUCAGGUCCUGGCUCUCAGGUCCUAGCCCCCACCAGCUCUACACUAAACUGGCCCCUUUCUUCCCAGAUGGGCCGUCUCCCACAGGCAGCGCCUGCUGGAACUCAACAGCUCCCUGGAGUUCAAGCUGCACCGACUGCACUUCAUCCGCCUCCUGGCAGGAGGCCCCGAGAAGCAGCUGGAGGCCCUCAGCUAUGCUCGGCACUUCCAGCCCUUUGCUCGGCUGCACCAGCGGGAGAUCCAGGUGAUGAUGGGCAGCCUGGUGUACCUGCGGCUAGGCUUGGAGAAGUCACCCUACUGCCACCUGCUGGACAACAGCCACUGGGCGGAGAUCUGUGAGACCUUUACCCGGGACGCCUGUUCCCUGCUGGGGCUUUCUGUGGAGUCCCCGCUUAGCGUCAGCUUUGCCUCUGGCUGUGUGGCGCUGCCCGUGUUGAUGAACAUCAAGGCUGUGAUUGAGCAGAGGCAGUGCACUGGGGUCUGGAGUCACAAGGACGAGUUGCCGAUUGAGAUUGAACUAGGCAUGAAGUGCUGGUACCACUCCGUGUUCGCUUGCCCCAUCCUCCGCCAGCAGACGUCAGAUUCCAACCCUCCCAUCAAGCUCAUCUGCGGCCAUGUUAUCUCCCGAGAUGCACUCAAUAAGCUCAUUAAUGGAGGAAAGCUGAAGUGUCCCUACUGUCCCAUGGAGCAGAACCCGGCAGAUGGGAAACGCAUCAUAUUCUGAUUCCUACCUGGAAGGAAUUUUGUUGAAAGGGGUUUUCACCUGUGAGCCUUGGUCUGUCUCAGUAGGGUGGUCAGCUUCAGUGGACUGUGGUUGGUUUCAGAGCGCCUGGCUGAGGAGUUCCGCUGAGGGGAGGGCUGGAGCAGCCCUUUGGCAGAGGCUGAGGAGGGAGAUGGACCAGCCCACACCUGGCAGCUGGCUCCAUGGCAUAAGGAAAGGGAGAUACUGGCCUCUGUGCUCCUGCUGUCUCUUCCUGUUCUGUUUGCCUUUGACUUAGUAGCAACCGACAGAGUGGCAAGGGAUUUGGUCUUCAGCAGUAGACAUCCUUCCACCCCUGCCCUCAGCCAAGUCUCUUGCUGCCAUGCCAAUGCUAUGUCCACCCUUGCCCCUCGGCCCAAGGGUGUCCAGUGGUGGCCCACCUCUUCCUCCCACUACAGCCUCAACAGUACGUACCAUCUCCCACUGUAAAUAGUCCCAGUUAGAAUGGAAUGACGUUGUUUUAUAACUUUGAACAAAUGU